CCUCCCAGUGAUGAGGACCUUUCACAGACCUGUACUGAGCUCCGUGAGGAUGAGGAACUCUGAGGAUUC
rnacentral:snoRNA from 1 species